rnacentral:lncRNA from 1 species
GGGAGGUUUUAGUGACUUUAGGAAUAUACGUAAACUAUGAUUUGGAAAGAUAGCAAACCCUAAUCACCCUCUUCCAUUCCCUCAAGCUCGACGGCAAACCCCCCACCCCCACACCAUCGAAGACAUCAUUUUGUUCGAGCCAACUGAUUGGGUUUGGUUGACCAACUGAGAGCGGGUAAUCUAACAUAACAUGCCGAGCAAAUCAAAGGUCGUUAGGUAUCUUGGAUUUGGGGAAACUUGCUGUCUGGAGUAGCUGGAGUGGUCAUGG